rnacentral:rRNA from 1 species
UACAGGGGGUGCAAACGUUGCUCGGAAUCAUUGGGCGUAAAGCGCACGUAGGCGGUCUGUUAUGUCGGAUGUGAAAGCCCUUGGCUUAACUGAGGAAGUGCAUCCGAAACUGGCAGGCUAGAGUACUAAAGAGGGUCGCGGAAUUCCCGGUGUAGAGGUGAAAUUCGUAGAGAUCGGUAGGAACACCAGUGGCGAAGGCGGUCUCCUGGGGCAUUCUUGACGCUGAGACGCGAAAGCUGGGGGAGCGAACGGG